GGCGCCUUGGCGUGCAGCUUGCAUGCCUGCAGGUCGACGAUUAGAGUUUGAUCCUGGCUCAGGACUAACGCUAACGGUGUGCUUAAUACAUGCAAGUCUAACGAGCAAUGUGAGAGUGGCAACACUCCUGCAAAGCUAGUGGCGAACGGGUGAGUAACGCGUAGGUAAUCUACCUUAGAGAUUAGGACAACCUUCCGAAAGGAAGGCUAAUACUAAAUAUUUUAUAUUUUUCGCAUGAUUAAUAUAAAAAAGGUAGCCGCAAGGCCUCCGCUUUAAGAUGAGCCUGCGUCCUAUUAGCUUGUUGGUAAGGUAAUGGCUUACCAAGGCUAUGAUGGGUAGCCGGCCUGAGAGGGUGAUCGGCCACACUGGGACUGCGAUACGGCCCAGACUCCUACGGGAGGCAGCAGUAGGGAAUAUUGCGCAAUGGGCGAAAGCCUGACGCAGCGACACCGUGUGAAGGAUGAAGGUCUUCGGAUCGUAAACUUCUGUCAAUUGGGGACGAAGGUAAUAAGGUUAAUAGCCUUUAUUAUUGACGGUACCUAAUAAGGAAGUCUCGGCUAACUCCGUGCCAGCAGCCGCGGUAAGACGGAGGAGGCAAGCGUUGUCCGGAAUCAUUGGGCGUAAAGAGCGCGUAGGCGGUUUUUCAAGUCGUAUGUGAAAACUUCAGGCUUAACCUGAUGAUUGCAUAUGAAACUGGAUAACUUGAGUACAGCAGAGGAAAGUGGAAUUCCUGGUGUAGCGGUGAAAUGUGCAGAUAUCAGGAAGAACACCAGUAGCGAAGGCGGCUUUCUGGGCUGUUACUGACGCUGAGGCGCGAAAGCUAGGGGAGCGAACAGGAUUAGAUACCCUGGUAGUCCUAGCCGUAAACGAUGGACACUAGGCGUGGGAAGUUAUCGACGCUUUCUGUGCCGAAGCUAACGCAUUAAGUGUCCCGCCUGGGGAGUACGGGCCGCAAGGCUAAAACUCAAAGGAAUUGACGGAAUCUCUAGAGGAUCCCCGGGUACCGAGCUCGAAUUCGUAAUCAUGGUCAUAGCUGUUUCCUGUGUGAAAUUGU
rnacentral:rRNA from 1 species